AUUGAACGCUGGCGGCAGGCCUAACACAUGCAAGUCGAGCGAGCGGCGGACGGGUGAGUAAUGUAUGGGGACUGCCCGAUAGAGGGGGAUAACUACUGGAAACGGUGGCUAAUACCGCAUACUAUCGGAUAACCCAUAUGGGAUUAGCUAGUAGGUGGGGUAAAGGCUCACCUAGGCGACGAUCUCGAGCUGGUCUGAGCGGAUGAUCAACAACACUGGGACUGAGACACGGCCGAGGACCCUACGGAGGCAGCGGUGGGGAAUAUUGCACCAUGGGCGCAGAGCUGAUGCAGCCAUGCCGAGUGUAUGAAGAAGGCCUUAGGGUUGUAAAGUACUUUGAGCGGUGAGGCGUUACCCGCAGAAGAAGCACCGGCUAACUCCGUGCAAGCAGCCGCGGUAAUUC
rnacentral:rRNA from 1 species